ACUGUCACAGUGGAGGGUUGGGAGGGAAAGGAGAGGGAAGCCGAACCAGUUCGUCCGUUCGUUCCGGCCGUGUGGAUUGGACAUUUCAAAAGAAGAAAUCGCGAGCCUAGCUACAGAAAGGGCACCAGUUAUAUAGAGAGAAAGGAAGGAACUGCACCGUCUCGAGACCUUUGAGAGCGUGUGUCGAGCGGAGGAAGACGAGGAGCAGAGCGGGCAGGCAGGUGAGGCCGGCGAAGUUCACAGCCAGCUCUGGUGCUUGCUUUGGUGAUAUUCAUCAAGCUCUCGUCCAUGCCGCUUUGGUGGUGUCUCGUCUGCCCGCCCCCUGCUGCGUGCAUGUGCGUAUGAUCGUUUGGGCUAAAGCGAGGAGGUAGCAGGAACCAGGCAGCUGGGGAGCGCAUCGCAUGGAGGAGAGAGUGAAAAGAGGAAGAGCAGAAGGUGAGGGCGAAGAAGCGACCCUAACGGAAAGGAGCCCGCUUGGCCCGCUGCUGGGCCCGCCCCUGAGCUGAGCGGGAGGGAGGGAGGGCGGGGUGGGAGGAGGAGGAGGCGGAGGAUCUCCUCUCACGUCAAAGGUGGGGGAAAGCAUAAAGGGGCGAGGAAGGAGGAAGAGAAGGUGGUGGAGUGGAGAAAGCGAGCUGCAGAGAGGAAAGGCACCAAGCUUCAGUGAGUGAGCAAGGGAUAGAGUGUGAGUGAGUGUGGGAGUGAGCGAGUGAUACCUCUCCCCCAUAUAGCUGAGGCAGAGCAUCCGGUUCUUCCACCACCACCACCGCAUUGCUCCUCUCACUCCCCACCACAGCCAGUCAGUGUUCUGGUGAAGUUGAAAGAGGAGGAGGCGCCGGCCAGUCAUGGCAUUGCAGGAGCAGGAAGAAGACGAGGAAGAUGAAGAUGAAGGGGAAGACGGUGAGGAGGAUGGGAUCAUGACGAGGAGGGUGCUGUGGGGGAGGAGCUGCCGCUGAUUUCCUCCCCUGACCCGACCCGAGGCGCGCUGCCUGCUCCGGAGUAGUAGUAAGAUAUUGGCACAAUAGGCUCAAUCACUUUUUCUUUCCCUUGUUUUGCUGUUUUUGCGCUCCUUUCCCCGUUCAGUCCAUUGAUGAUUGCAUACUCUUCCCCGUGUAAUUUCUUUUCCUCCCUGUCCCUUCUGAUCUGUUGUUCUUGGUGGUUUCCCCGAUUCGGAAUGCAAAACGCUUUCG